AUUGAACGCUGGCGGCAUGCCUUACACAUGCAAGUCGAACGGUAACAGGUCUUCGGAUGCUGACGAGUGGCGAACGGGUGAGUAAUACAUCGGAACGUGCCUAGUAGUGGGGGAUAACUACUCGAAAGAGUGGCUAAUACCGCAUGAGAUCUACGGAUGAAAGCAGGGGAUCGCAAGACCUUGUGAGACUAGAGCGGCCGAUGGCAGAUUAGGUAGUUGGUGGGAUAAAAGCUUACCAAGCCGACGAUCUGUAGCUGGUCUGAGAGGACGAUCAGCCACACUGGGACUGAGACACGGCCCAGACUCCUACGGGAGGCAGCAGUGGGGAAUUUUGGACAAUGGGUGCAAGCCUGAUCCAGCAAUGCCGCGUGCAGGAUGAAGGCCUUCGGGUUGUAAACUGCUUUUGUACGGAACGAAAAGCCCUGGGUUAAUACCCUGGGGUCAUGACGGUACCGUAAGAAUAAGCACCGGCUAACUACGUGCCAGCCGCCGCCGUAAGAC
rnacentral:rRNA from 1 species